rnacentral:rRNA from 1 species
UACAGAGGGGGCAAGCGUUAUUCGGAAUUAUUGGGCGUAAAGGGCGCGUAGGCGGCAUGGCAAGUGGAUGGUGAAAUCCCUCGGCUUAACCGAGGAACUGCCGUCCAAACUGCUUCGCUUGAGACCGGGAGAGGUGAGUGGAGUUCCCAGUGUAGCGGUGAAAUGCGUAGAUAUUGGGAGGAACACCAGUGGCGAAGGCGGCUCACUGGACCGGUACUGACGCUGAAGCGCGAAAGCGUGGGGAGCAAACGGG